UACGUAGGGGGCAAGCGUUGUCCGGAAUUAUUGGGCGUAAAGAGCGCGUAGGCGGUCCGAUAAGUCGGCUGUGAAAGUCAGGGGCUCAACCCUUGGAAGCCGGCCGAUACUGUCGGACUAGAGUCCGGAAGAGGCGAGUGGAAUUCCCGGUGUAGCGGUGAAAUGCGCAGAUAUCGGGAGGAACACCAAUGGCGAAGGCAGCUCGCUGGAACAGUACUGACGCUGAGGCGCGAAAGCGUGGGGAGCAAACAGG
rnacentral:rRNA from 1 species